UACGAAGGGGGCUAGCGUUGCUCGGAAUCACUGGGCGUUAAAGGGUGCGUAGGCGGGUCUUUUAAGUCAGGGGUGAAAUCCUGGAGCUCAACUCCAGAACUGCCUUUGAUACUGAAGAUCUUGAGUUCGGGAGAGGUGAGUGGAACUGCGAGUGUAGAGGUGAAAUUCGUAGAUAUUCGCAAGAACACCAGUGGCGAAGGCGGCUCACUGGCCCGAUACUGACGCUGAGGCACGAAAGCGUGGGGAGCAAACAGG
rnacentral:rRNA from 1 species